GAGUACGAUCAUACCAGCACAAAAGCACUGGAUCCUAUUAGAACUCUGUAGGUAAGUGUGAUUAGGCAAGAGUAGUACUAGGAUGGGUGAUCCCCUAGCAACUCUUCGUGUUACACUCC
rnacentral:rRNA from 1 species